rnacentral:rRNA from 1 species
GACGUAGGAGGCGAGCGUUGUCCGGAUUCAUUGGGCGUAAAGAGCACACAGGCGGUUUGGCAAGUCGGACGUGAAAAUCCGGGGCUCAACCCCGGACCUGCAUCCGAAACUGCCCGACUAGAGGUAGGUAGGGGAGAUCGGAAUUCCUGGUGUAGCGGUGAAAUGCGCAGAUAUCAGGAGGAACACCGGUGGCGAAGGCGGAUCUCUGGGCCUUACCUGACGCUCAGGUGCGAAAGCUAGGGGAGCGAACAGG